rnacentral:lncRNA from 1 species
GUCCAGUGAUUUAAUUCAGAUCCAGAAGAGUGCAAACGCUUUUUCUACCAUGUUGGAUACAAUGUUCUAUAUCUGGCAGCUAAUAAGUGACACAAAUAACAGAAGUUCAAUCAUAUACUACGUCCCAGCUUCUUUAACGCAGUCUGUGCUAUUAACAAGGCCAUAGGGACUAGAAGAUAUUUUUUGGGAAAUUUUCUGUUUUCUCUGUUAUGUUCUCCAGAGGAUGGAAAUGGAAGAAGAAAUGACAACGUCAC